AAAUUUUGCGUAGUCUUACACAUUUCUCUAGUUCUCUCCAACUUUAUAUCUUUUACAUUUCUCUCUUUCUUACACAUUUCUCUAGUUCUCUCCAACUUUAUAUCUUUUACAUUUCUCUCUUUUCUUGCUUCGUUUCUCUACUUCUCUACGACAUAUGCAUCGUCACCGUCAAUAGAAGUUCCAUUGCUCAAACAAACACUGCUGACAAAGAUGUGAUAGGUGUUCUACAAGAUGUUGUCAAAACGAAAAUGGACGGUGGUGGCAAGAAAUUUUGUGCCAAUAUAACUCUAUGUGAUAAGGCUGAAAAUGUGAUCGAGGACACUUUAUGGAAAGACUACGGUUAACAGUUCAUGAACUAUAAUAGUUCGAACAUGUCUCCUGGUCCAACACUCAUUGUCUUAACAAAUGCGUGAUGUAAGAAAAAUCAAGGAUUAUUUUUCCACAACCAUUGGCACUACCAAACAAUUUAAGUCAUCCAAGUUUGGAUGGUAUUUUGAGGCGUUAUCGGCUUGCAAGACAUCAAACAAGUCCCAUGGAACCAAAUUUGAAUGUGUUUAUGGAGUUAAAGAUCUUAAACCUAUUUCAAAAUACAAAAUCAAAAUCAAAGUCGAGUUUGAUAAUCAUGUGGGAUGUUUUGUGUUUUGAGAUAAAGAUUGUAUCCUAUACAUUAAUAUGACUGCUAGGAAGUUACGACAACUCAUGAGGGAGGUAAUUAAAUUUGUAAUGCAUGAUCAUUAUUUGUAAGUUUUCGUUUCAAUUCAACUAUAUUUCAAUGACUAAUAUGAUUUUUGACCUAGGAUGGAGAGGAUAACCAUGUCACUUAAAAUUUGAAUAUAACAUGAUUAUGCUCUUUGAGUAAUAAUAAGAACCAACAGUUUUGAUACCAAUAUGCUCAGUCUAUUAUUAGCAUCAAAUUGUUUUUUACACAUACAGUAAUGGAAUACUUAUUCCUUUCUAAUAGUUUUUUUCUGAGACAUCAAAGCUGAUGAAAUUUCUAACCAAUUAAGGCUCAGUUCAACAACUGAACUUCUUCACCAUAUAUACUAUCAUAAUUAUGCAUAACAUGCCCCAUUUUUUAUUCACAGAACUCAAUUGCAACCUCACAAGCGCAUGUUAUGUGAUAAAUUCUUUGUUUUACACUUCUACAAUUAAUGACUACAUCAUAGGCAUUUCCACUCAUACACUUGGUUCACUGUUCAGCCCUCUAUGCAUCAUGUUGCCCAUUUUGACACUCCAUAUUUUAUGAAGUUAUUUUAUGAUCUUCUAAUUCCUAAUGCCUUAUGUCACAAUGCAUCUUGUUGUAUUCGAUUUUUGGUUAUUGUGCAUUGUACAAAUAGACUUUUACAGGCUAUCAAUGGAAAAUCAAACGAAGACAACUGGCCAGACUCUUGCUUUAUAGGAUAACAUGCUUGUAAUGGUCAACUUAGCAUUUAAUACAACCUGUUUUAGAUAGAUCCUUUCAUUUCAUGUUGUCAUUUCUUGCACGAAUUCAGGUAUGUAUUCAUACUGCGUGGAUCAUCUUUUUCUCCAAAAAUCACCUAUCAAUACCAAUAUAUGUUAGGCUUAAUGCAACAUCUAUUUAGACUUGCUUUCGAGUAUAUAAUGGAUUUAAAACUAUUUUGAUGUUAGAUAUCAUAAUGACAUAGUGAACCAUGAAAUCACAUGCCAACCUAACAAGCAAGACAUGUUUACAUAGUAUCAUGUUAUGCAUUAGGCACUAAUGCAAUACCUGUUAUAACCUAUAUGCUGGCAACCAUUUCCCUACAGGUAUUAACCGAUCAUUUUUUCGUUGUGAUGGACUGCACAAAUAACUUCUUUCACAAUGAACUAACUUAACUACAUUAAAUUUAAGUAACUAUAUUUUAUGAUUAAUUUCACAUUAAUAUAACAUAAUUUAUUUGAUUUUAGUAAUUAGAGGGACUACUUUGUUAUUAUUAUUAACUAUUAUAUCACAAACUCCUCAUAGUUUUCUAAAGUAUCACAACAUAUAUACUUUUUCAAUUCAAUUCUCAAUUGACAAUGCAUUAACCUGUGAAAAACAUUAUGAACAUUUGGUUUAUGUCCUCUACAUAAAAGAAAUAUGAGUUUCAACUUGGACUUUUUGCAAAUGUCAUACAUAUGAAUACAACAACUUUGAUUCUUUACAUACAUGUCUGAGAUACACUGUAUUAUUAUUUAGAUGCAACUUCACACACUAUGAUUAAUAUACAUGUGUUAGAUGCAACUUGACAACACUUUUUUUAUUCUCAUUUUCUAAACAAACCUUAGCAUGAUGGAUUUUGAAUUGGCGUUGUUUGUUAGAAUUGAUAACAAAAGUAUUCAUUUUAUCUAAUCUGAAUCAGUGGAGUAGAUAUGUAUAAAAAGGAUGGCUCGUGUGUUUCCCUCAUAUAAUAACAUACCUAGAAUCAAAAACAUGAUGUCUAAGGUGGUUCCAUGGACACCAGAUCCUCAAUUUAUUGUGACUUAUGCUAAGAAGUUACACUUAUACAUCCAUUAUAUAGAGAGUAUCAUUAAUGCCACCUUACCUAAUAACAAUGAAUAUAAAUGCUAAACUAAUGUCUAUAUUAAAGUUCAACAUUUGUUAGUUGACACAUUAAUUUAGCUCAUGAUCACACUACAAUUUUUUCAAUCAAAGUGGAUGAAUAUGUGACUUUACGUAAUAUACCCAUGCAGAGUUUUUCGUAUUGCGUUUAUGUCAGUUUAUUGCAAUCCAUUUUUUCAUUACAAACCAUUAUUUCAGUAACAAAUCAUACCACUUGUAUUCACUAAUAUUUCUUGCUGCAUAAUCCAUAUUACUACUCAAUUAUCUAUCUCAAAACUUGCAUUAUUCAUUAUGAUAUCUAUUUUCAUUUGUCGCUUCGAUGAUUAAUCUAUGUAUCUGAACAAUAGUUCGCGGUAGUUGAUAUAGUUUCUUUGUUUCAAUAUGGCAGUCAUUGCAUUGAUUGCACUUAAUUGAACGAAAUGGAUCAUGGCUCCAAGUUUGUCUCAACAAAAAGAGAAAGGACACAGAGGGCUCUAAUCAUAAAAAAAAUUAUGUUCUAAGCGGCUACGGAAUACACCUCUUCAACAACACACAUAUUAUCAACAAAUACCUACCCCAAAUGUCAUCAAAAAUAUAAUUCCACUGUCUGAAAACACUCCUUGACAAUAAAAUCAAAAAAUGGCUGCUCAAGUAGUUGAAGAAGAUAGAUUACUAACUGCAAGAAUUCUAGGCUCAGAGCCUUGUCAUAGCAGACAUGUAUGGCAUCCUACCAAGAAAUACUCCAAGGUUUUCACUCUUUAGGAACUAAUCUAUUGUCAAAGUUCUCAAAUGUCAUCACAUGCGAGACAAAUGAGAAUUACUCGCAUCCUAAUAUGGUUUCAUCUAAUGCAAUACAACCCUGCAGCAUCAUCCACAUAUUAGAUGUUGGGGAUUCUUUUAUUGCAAGAAAGUAUUCUCAAUGUAUACUUUUUUAUCACAUAGCACUCUGUCUAUUGUACUCAUAUUGGUGUUGACAAAUUUAGUGUAUACAUUUAACUCUCCUUUUUCAUGCAACACUACAAGUUGUGUGAACCAACCAUAUGUUGUAGACAACGAUAGCUCUUCAACGACACCAUGGACUCCUCAACAAUCAUGCUUAAGUCGGAGAGAUAAUAUGGUAGAGAAGUACCAUGUUUAUGCAGUAGGGAACCAAUCCGGCAGGAGAUCAUUACAAUUUCCUAAACGCCCUUGAGGACGACCUCGCAAAAGAACCAUAACUCAAGAUCUAAUUUUGCCUCUACCGGUUCUACAAGAUGAUAGAAAAUUUAUUGAGGCUUUAAAAGAGGCACAUAUUUGGGAUUCUAGUAUUUUUUUUACAGAAGUUAUUUGUUACUAUGUUACUAUCGUCAUCGAUGAAUAUACUAGAGCAUGUUUGGAGUAAUACAUGGCAAUACUUAUCUGAUGGUAUUCUUUACGAGAAGCGUGUUUUGACUAGAAAUCCAGGAUUAACACUUACUGAUAAAGAAAUAAAAAACAACUCACACUAAUUGCAGUAAAAACUCAGUUACAAAAGAACAAUUGAAGUUUUAAAUACUUAAAGCCAACACCAUAUCCAAAUGACUAUGUACUUUCUUUUUUGGGAAAUCGGCUCAUUUAUGAAGAGUGGCAGUAUGAUUCAAUUGAUCAAAAACACAUUUUUGAUACUUUGUACUCAUCUUUUAUAGGAGAGCAUAAACACAUAUAUUUAGAAGUCAUGGAAGCAGUUGAAAGAAAAAAUGGUGGAGUGUUUUCUUAUAUGUCUAUGGUGGAACAUGUAAAACGUUUAUGUGGAACACUUUGGGAGCAACACUUUGCUCCAAACAAAAAAUUGUCUUGCUUGUUGCAUCAAGUGGAAUUGAAAGUUUGUUGUUACCAGGUGGAAGAACAACUUAUUAUAGGUUUAAGAUUUUUGUCCCUACUCUGUAAUCUUCAAUUUGCAACAUUGACAAAAGGGAUGAACUUGUUGAGAUUUUAAAGUUGACAUAUCUUAUUAUAUGGGAUGAGGCUCCAAUGGAUAAUAAGUUUUACUUUGAAGCUCUUGAUAAAUCUUUAAAAGACAUCAUGAGUGAAACUCCUCGAGCUUAUAAAAAACUAUAUGGAGGCAAAGUAGUAUUUUCUUUAGACAAAUUCUACUAGUUGUUCCAAAAGGUAGUAUAUAAGAUAUUAUUCAUGCAACAAUCAAUAUUUCUUAUAUUUGGGAUCAAUGCAGAGUCCUCGGGUUUAUACAAAACAUGUGCCUUCAAAGUGGUGCAACUACUUCAAACAAAGAGGAAGUCCUCAUUUUUUUAGAGUGGAUAUUGCAUAUUGGAGAUGGUACUAUGUCUGAGCCUAACAAUGGUUAUGUUGACAUUUCAAUUCCCGAUGAGCCUCUAAUUUUUAAUUUUUCACAUCCUAUUAAGGUUAUUGUUAAGAGCACCUAUCUUGAUCUCAUUCAUAACUAUCAUAAUCCUAAUUUUCUGCAAAGUCGUGCAAUGUUGGCUUCAACAAUUGAAAUUGUUGACGACAUUAAUCAAUGUAUCACAAAUCUUCUUCCAGGUACUAAAAAUGUUGUUUCAAUAUUUUAAUGCUAUAAAUAUACUAUAAUUUCUAUUAAUAUAGCUUUUACAUUGGUCUAUUGUUUUAAAUUUAUAUGAGGAAAAAAAUGAAUACUUUAGUAGUGAUUAUAUUGAUAGACCUACAACUACGAACUUUUAUGCAUUUGAGCACUUGACUCCUGAAUUUCUAAAUAUUAUGAAAACUUUUGGAUUGCCUAAUCAUUCAAUCAAGUUGAAGAUUGAUGUCACUAUUAUGUUGAUGUGCAACUUAGAUCAGCCUGAAGGUUUAUGCAAUGGUACAAGGCUCACUGUAAUAAGGUUUGCUAAUCAUGUCAUUGAAGCUAAGAUCAUUUUUGGAAAGAAGAUAGGUAACAUCAUUUAUAUUCCUAGAAUGUCUUUAUCCCAGUCACAAUCUUCAUGGCCAUUUAAGUUAGUGAGAAGACAAUUCCUUAAUAUUGUUUCUUUUGCUAUGACAACUAAUAUAUCUCAAGGGCGAGCUUUAGCCAAUGUUGGUUUAUAUCUUCCAAAUGAUAUUUUCAGUCAUGGUCAAUUGUAUGUGCCAACUUCUCGAGUUAAGACUAAAAAAAGUCUUAAAAUUUUGAUUCAUGACAAAGACAAUAUUGCAACAACAACUACCAUUAACAUUGUAU